GCCAGCAGCCGCGGUAAUACGGAGGGAGCUAGCUUUGUUCGGAAAUACUGGGCGUAAAGCGCACGUAGGCGGCGCAGCAAGUCAGGGGUGAAAUCCCGGGGCUCAACCCCGGAACUGCCCUUGAAACUGCAGUGCUAGAAUCUUGGAGAGGCGAGUGGAAUUCCCAGUGUAGAGGUGAACUUCGUAGAUAUUCGGAAGAACACCAGUGGCGAACGCGACUCGCU
rnacentral:rRNA from 1 species